UUUUGACGCCAUUACCGGAGACUAAUUCAAGCUACCAUUGAAUUCGAUAAGAAAUCUCUUCUAAGAUACUAAGAAACUUUCGUUUAUAAUUUUUAUUUUUUCUGUUUUUCGAUAAUUUAUGUUUCCCUUUUAGUUUCUGUUUUUGGUAUUUCAGUGCAUGAGUAGGAGUCAAAACCAAGGACGGGUACCUCCAUACCAAGACAUUGAUAGACUUGAACUUGAUAUCAAAAAACUUCGAAGACAACUACUCAUUGCCGAUCAAAGGAACCAAUACCAAGGUGAACUUGAUGAUCCACAACAACGUGUCCUACGAACUUGCUGAAGAACAACUCGACCAUCUUGUUGGCCGAGGUCAACAACAACCUCAAUGUUCCUCCUCUACAGCCUUCUCAUGUUGCUAGUCCCCAACAUCCUUCUCAUGUCGCUAGUGCCCAACAUCCUCUUAAUGUUGCUGCAAGACAAGCUGCUUAUGUACACCUUCUGAGCAUAUUUAAAGGA
rnacentral:lncRNA from 1 species